AUGAGAAAUAGAUUUAAGGGCCUAGAUCUGAUAGAUAGAGUGCCUGAUGAACUAUGGAAUGAGGUUCGUGACAUUGUACAGGAGACAGGGAUCAAGACUAUCCCCAUGGAAAAGAAAUGCAAAAAAGCAAAAUGGCUGUCUGGGGAGGCCUUACAAAUAGCUGUGAAAAGAAGAGAAGCAAAAAGCAAAGGAGAAAAGGAAAGAUAUAAGCAUCUGAAUGCAGAGUUCCAAAGAAUAGCAAGAAGAGAUAAGAAAGCCUUCCUCAGUGAUCAAUGCAAAGAAAUAGAGGAAAACAACAGAAUGGGAAAGACUAGAGAUCUCUUCAAGAAAAUUAGAGAUACCAAAGGAACAUUUCAUGCAAAGAUGGGCUCGAUAAAGGACAGAAAUGGUAUGGACCUAACACAAGCAGAAGAUAUUAAGAAGAGGUGGCAAGAAUACACAGAAGAACUGUACAAAAAAUAUUUUCAUGACCCAGAUAAUCAUGAUGGUGUGAUCACUCACCUACAGCCAGCCAUCCUGGAAUGUGAAGUCAAGUGGGCCUUAGAAAGCAUCACUAUGAACAAAGCUAGUGGAGGUGAUGGAAUUCCAGUUGAGCUAUUUCAAAUCCUGAAAGAUGAUGCUGUGAAAGUGCUGCACUCAAUAUGCCAGCAAAUUUGGAAAACUCAGCAGUGGCCACAGGACUGGAAAAGGUCAGUUUUCAUUCCAAUCCCAAAGAAAGGCAAUGCCAAAGAAUGCUUAAACUACCGCACAAUUGCACUCAUCUCACAUGCCAGUAAAGUAAUGCUCAAAAUUCUCCAAGCCAGGCUUCAGCAAUACGUGAACCGUGAACUUCCUGAUGUUCAAGCUGGUUUUAGAAAAGGCAGAGGAACCAGAGAUCAAAUUGCCAACAUCCAUCGGAUUAUCGAAAAAGUAAGCGAGUUCAGGAAAAACAUCUAUUUCUGCUUUAUUGACUAUGCCAAAGCCUUUGACUGUGUGCAUCACAAUAAACUGGAAAAUUCUGAAAGAGAUGGGAAUACCAGACCACCUCACCUGCCUCUUGAGAAAUUUGUAUGCAGGUCAGGAAGCAACAGUUAG
rnacentral:lncRNA from 1 species